AGAGUUUGAUCCUGGCUCAGGACGAACGCUGGCGGCGUGCCUAAACAUGCAAGUCGAACGCACUCUCGUUAGAUUGAAGAAGCUUGCUUCUGAUUGAUAACAUUUGAGUGAGUGGCGGACGGGUGAGUAACACGUGGGUACCUGCCCUAAAGUGGGGGAUAACAUUUGGAAACAGAUGCUAAUACCGCAUAAAACCUAGCACCGCAUGGUGCAAGGUUGAAAGAUGGUUUCGGCUAUCACUUUAGGAUGGACCCGCGGUGCAUUAGUUAGUUGGUGAGGUAAAGGCUCACCAAGACCGUGAUGCAUAGCCGACCUGAGAGGGUAAUCGGCCACACUGGGACUGAGACACGGCCCAGACUCCUACGGGAGGCAGCAGUAGGGAAUCUUCCACAAUGGACGAAAGUCUGAUGGAGCAACGCCGCGUGAGUGAAGAAGGUUUUCGGAUCGUAAAACUCUGUUGUUGGAGAAGAACGUAUUUGAUAGUAACUGAUCAGGUAGUGACGGUAUCCAACCAGAAAGCCACGGCUAACUACGUGCCAGCAGCCGCGGUAAUACGUAGGUGGCAAGCGUUGUCCGGAUUUAUUGGGCGUAAAGCGAGCGCAGGCGGUUUCUUAAGUCUGAUGUGAAAGCCUUCGGCUCAACCGAAGAAGUGCAUCGGAAACUGGGAAACUUGAGUGCAGAAGAGGACAGUGGAACUCCAUGUGUAGCGGUGAAAUGCGUAGAUAUAUGGAAGAACACCAGUGGCGAAGGCGGCUGUCUGGUCUGUAACUGACGCUGAGGCUCGAAAGCAUGGGUAGCAAACAGGAUUAGAUACCCUUGUAGUCC
rnacentral:rRNA from 1 species